rnacentral:lncRNA from 1 species
CGCUGGAGCGGUAUUGAGGUUGCCUUCAGUAGUAUCAUUCAUAUGCUCUGUGGCCCUGUCUCGAAGGUUCCAUGCUGUUGUUCCGAUGUAUACUUCCAACUGGUUGUCGUUGACGUUCUGUGGGGGGAUUCUGCAUGCACCUGACUUGUGCUCGCUAUUUCUUCUGGAUUUGUCGUUGUGCAAUAGGCUGAAGGUGGUGGAGGCUCUUCUGAAGGUGCUGGCUUUGUUUGCCGACUUGGGGGUGGAUCUAAUAACAGGGUUGGAGUGGGGUCUGUAUGGUGUUGGGGGCUGGUAUUGUGAGGCAGGAGCGGGCUCUGCUUGGGAGGAGGGGCCGGG